ACGAGGACAGAGAAAUAGGCCUUAGGUGGCUGACCUUGGUGUGAGCGAGGACAUGGCGGAGAGACAGAAGCAUGAUUAGACAGACAAAGAAUAGGAACAAAGGGGGUGGUAGAUAUUUUCCUGAGAGAGGUGAAAUUCAAUGACCAGGAAAAGAUAGACGAGAGCGAAAGCAUUCCACAAAGAUGUUUUCAUAGAUCAAGAACGAAAGUUGGGGGAUCGAAGACGAUCAGAUACCGUCGUAGUCUCAACCAUAAACGAUGCCGACUAGGGAUUGGAUGGUGGUGUGUGAGUGGUUGUGGUGGUGAUGCAUGCCUUUGUGGUGUGUGUUGUUGGCAUGACUGCUGACCAAUCGAAAAGAAGCACAUGCCAGU
rnacentral:rRNA from 1 species